ACAUAUAACUGAGUUGAUGUAACAUAAGUGAAAGAUACAAUAGCAUGUAUCGGUGGUUCUCCAACAAGAUUGGUGGCUUUGCUCCCUAGAAACUGCAAAUGGGAAAAGCUCCACCUUUUAUACUUUUCAUUUACAUCUAGGAACUACUAUUGAUUAGAUAAAUAACCUCUGAUUGUGGCACUACUUGGAUCUAUCUUGAAAAUCCUGGAAGCAGAUGUUUACAUUAAAUAUGUGAUUAAGUGAAGUGAUUUUAUUAUUCUCUUAUAUUAGAAGUAGCAGUUGGGGUUUUUAACCUAUUUGUGUCAUCAACAUGUCUGGCUAUGACAUGCUUCUCUGGCGUUUCAACAGACCCCUAGGAAAAGAAAGAGUCAUCAAGUUGAUAACUUUUAUCAAAUAAUAUCUCACAGGAUAGUUAUUGCAACUUAGUUAGCUUGCACCGUCUCUGAAAGUCUCCUGCUACUUUCUCACUCCUUUGUUCUUAUCUUCGAAUCUCUGUGGAAAAUUGAAAUAAGGAAAACUCAGGCUGAAAUCACCUGGCGCUGGGUUCUUGGCUGCUACACCCGUGAACUGGCGAUAAGGUUGUCACUGGACCUUUUGCUUACCUCAACCUGCAAAACAAGGGAAUAAAGCACUUGUGGCUAUUACUGAAGGUUGCUCUCUGCAUCAUUUCAAUGUAAGUGGCUCCCACCAAAUUGGGGAUGCUAAAAUAAUAGCCAUAGCAACAGAAUGCCCUGAACUUAGUUUACUUGGAUGUGAGUGUUCUCCAAGUAUGUCCACUUAUACUUGUUCCAUAGAGUGGAAUAAAUAAUGGAUAUAAUGCAAA